GAUGAACGCUGGCGGUGUGCCUUAUACAUGCAUGUCGAACGAGGCGUAGCAAUACGUCUAGUGGCAAAUGGGUGAGUAAUAAAUAGGUAACCAACCCUUAAGACGGGGAUACCCCAUCGAAAGAUGGAAUAAUACCCGAUAAUGUCCCUUCCGGUGCGCUGGAGGGGAAGAAAGAUGGCGCAAGCUAUCACUUUUGGACGGGCUUAUUUCCUAUCAGCUAGUUGGUGAGGUAACGGCUUACCAAGGCUACGACGGGUAGCUGGUCUGAGAGGACGGUCAGCCACAUUGGGACUGCGACACGGCCCAGACUCCUACGGGAGGCAGCAGUCGGGAAUAUUGGGCAAUGGGGGAAACCCUGACCCAGCGACGCCGCGUGGAGGAUGACGGCCUUCGGGUUGUA
rnacentral:rRNA from 1 species